CGUGAGACCGACCCUGCUGAGGCUUUUCCAGUAGCCAUGUGUCAUUGGAAAUGCCUCAUGCAGUAGUUCUGUGGUUUUCGUUAACUCACAGAACUUCCUUGGGCCUGUGGGAAGCAACUACAAAACAAUU
ensembl:snoRNA